GCCCUGGUCCACCCAGUCCGUCCUCCGAGCGUCCCGAGGCGCCUUGUUGGAAGACCCUGCGGGUCUGCAGCACCUCCCACGCCCGUGCGGGGCGUGCGCUUCGCUCGUGCGUCCUAAAGCACGGCAAGCUCCGGGACCCGGCCAGUCCGCGGGCUCCCCCAGGGCGGGGGCGGGGCCCCUGCGCCCAGCAGAACGCGUCUUCUCGGAGCAGCCGAUUUUCUAGGGUUUCGGGGAACUGUUGAAUUCUGCGGCGGAGUCCAAGAAGGGGGCGCACGGCACUCUCGCCCUAGGGACGGGUCUCCUUGCUCUGAGCUGCUGAGCUGCCCCUUCCUCAGGACACUGCGGGGGUGAGAGAAACAUGAACAGAAGUGUCACCUUUCUCCGUGCCUGAAUAUUAGCUGUCCAUGGGUGUGUUGGCUCGAUUGGACAAUGGGGACAAAUGCAUUUUGGAGACAGGCGCUAACCAGAGAGGGAACAAGAGCUCUGGAGGAGAGACUGGGAGAUCCAGAGCGUCCCUGCUUACAAAGUGAAAGACCCGCCCCCUCUCCUUUGAGAAGCCAAUCCGGGAAUCUCGAACACCCGACGCCCGUGAGUGAAAGAGGCCUCUGGGGGGCAUGGCCAGGCAUCCAGCUGCCAAAUGUCUUCUGCGUUUGGAAGUCACCCUGACAUCACAGAGGCUGGUGUGCCUACCGAAACACAAAGAACCAGUAGCACAAGUUCCAACCCCUCUCCUUGAGGUUGAGGUGGGCCCUCAUCUCUAGGGCAGUGGACAGCCACGGUCCCACUGCUCCUGGAUGCUAGUUGGAUACAACUUGAGUGGGCAUCUGCAGUCUGUUGUCUGUCCCUCCUGCUCCCAGAUGUUUAGGCUGGAAACACUGUCCUGGCUGCUGGGACAGGAGGAGAGGGCCAUGGAGGAAUGAGGAGGACCCACUCCUACUUGGCCUUUGGAAUUAGGAAGAGGACAUGCUCCUUUCAAGCAACGUAUCACUCUGAAUUUCCCCCCGCCCAGUGCACAAGUGUUCUUGGCUGGUUUUCUGACCACCAAUCCUUGGGAGCCACAUGCUCACACUAAUUCCCAUCCCACUCCUCCGAG
rnacentral:lncRNA from 1 species